UUGUUAAUGUUAAUUUAAGAUUGAUCCUGUCUUGUUAUGAUUGGCUGUAUUUGGAUAAUAUUAUAUAUAAGUUUUUGCGUGUUUUAAGUAGGUAAUCUAAAGGAUUCCUAUUUGUUUAUAGUUGUAGUUUUUAAUUUUGAGUAUCACAUAGGUGUGGACUUAGUUAAUUGAAUAUAGAAUUGUUUAAGGUUGUGCCAGCUUACGCGGUUACACAUCCAAUUCAAGUUAAUCUUUUUGGUUUAUAUUAAUUUUAUUUUUGUUUGGGAAUUAAAUUUGUUUUAUUAAGUGAAAUUUUUAAUUCAGAUUAUAUUU
rnacentral:rRNA from 1 species